ACCGGAUGAGACACUUUAUAGUACAACGAAUCUAGACAGGAAGUAUGUCUAGAUUCAUUGUACUAUAAAGUGUCCCAUCCAGU
rfam:Oryza meridionalis cultivar OR44 (W2112) chromosome 6, whole genome shotgun sequence.